rnacentral:rRNA from 1 species
GUGUCAGCCGCCGCGGUAAUACGUAGGUGGCGAGCGUUGUCCGGAAUUAUUGGGCGUAAAGGGUGCGUAGGCGGUUUUUUAAGUGGGAUGUGAAAUACCUAGGCUUAACUUAGGAAUGGCAUUCCAAACUGGAAGACUAGAGUGCAGGAGAGGAAAGUGGAAUUCCCAGUGUAGCGGUGAAAUGCGUAGAGAUUGGGAGGAACACCAGUGGCGAAAGCGGCUCUCUGGCUUGUAACUGACGCUGAGGCUCGAAAGCGUGGGGAGCAAACAGGAUUAGAUACCCGGGUAGUCC